rnacentral:lncRNA from 1 species
CCGCCAACCGCUCAGGCUGCCACUUCCGCCGUGGUGCGGCGAGCGGGGGCGGAGGCGGCUGGCUUGGCCUGUCGGUUACCGGCGGCGCAGCUGGGGGUCGGCACCUGUGGGAAGGUCCCCAGCACCACCGCCCCCUGUGGGAGCGAGCGGGCCCGCCCUGUUGCCGCCCAGACCCUGUCCCAGGAGGCAGGUGGACGCCCC